ensembl:ncRNA H03E18.4 ncRNA
UCUAUUCAUAGCCUUUGGUCAGCUUCUCAUUAGAUCUCAUGAAAAGAAAA